rnacentral:lncRNA from 1 species
AGUCAGUCACGCAGAAGUUUCUCUUUCGCUCUUCGCGCUACACACCCAGAUUGGCUUCCAGCGCGCAGGGCACAAGCCUGCUGGAGAACAGAGCCAACACAGAGAAAAUGGAUCCAGGAGAUGAAGAUGGAGAAACUGGGUGCUGAAGACCUUUGAGCUGUUUUUGGAGCUAGACUGAUCACUGGACUUUCAAAUCAUAUGAGUAAAACCUGGCUGUGCCCUGUUGAAAUCAAUUCUGUUGCAGUCAUAUGCGGUGGAAUCUGUUCUUCUUUUGCAUCCUACGUAACCAGACCAAGCUGUGGGUUCCUAGACCAGCUGCCGAAGCUACCUUUCCUGAGAACUAAAAUCCUUGCCUGAUUUCUGAACAAAUGGGGCCUCCACUUGAAAGAGUGGAUAGAGGAAUGGUUUUUGUGAUGGCAAGGAAUAGAGCCUGCCACAGCGGGCUAACAACCACACUCAUGAAGUUUCAUGGAGGAGAUCUUGCUUAUGUUGAAUUCAACAGAAGCCGACAGGUAAUACAGUUGAGAAAGGUUGAAAAGGCAGAGAGAGAGAGCUGCUUCUGCAAGUGUAUUGAACAAUCAAAGGCAAAUAAUUCGUUACAGCUGGGCAUUCUGUACAUGUAGAUUAGUGAGAGAUGACUGCAGAGGUCAGCAGACCUCGUGCCAUAAAGACAACAUGGAAGCAGGGAGUCAAGUUCUCAUACCUUUGGGCAUUCAUUCUGAAAUUGCUAAAGAAGCAAAUAAAUGUCUGUCUGGGCUUUCCCGCCAUACAUGACUGAGAAUAUCCAGACAUUUCUCUAUAUUAAAGAAAAAGGAGAGAGCAGUCAUUACUUAGAAUGUCUUUUUGUGCUUGCGCGCACGUGCUCUCUCUCUCUCUCUCUCCCCCUAGCUAAACCUUGGCUGGGGAGUUUUCUGCAUUUUGCUAAGCUAGAUUGUACUCAAUGGGUUAUAGAGCCCCAGAAGAUUUUUCAGCUACACUUCGCCCACUAAAACCUUUGGAGAAAAGAGGCUGAAUGCUUGCAGUGAAACUAGUCCUGCUACCCUAAUCAUUGUUGAUCAGGCCAAGAAACCAGUACCUGAACCCAAAUUUGUCCCAGUAAGAACUCACCAUAUUGGGUAAAGACAAACCAACAAAAUUAGAUCUCCUCACCUUGAGAAGGGAAACUGAAUGAGAGAUGUAUGCUAGAAAUGUCAGUAGCAGAAGCAACGUGCAGAGGAGGAAGGAGAGAGGGCAGAGGAGGAAGGAGAGAGGGCAGAGGGAAAGAGCUAGAGAGAAAAAGAAAAAGAGGAAAGUGAACAACAGCUGGGCUCUGGAAAUUAACAUAAUAAGUCUCUGGCUAUUGGAAACUGAGGAGGAAAAAAGAACACAGAAAGUGUCAAUCAACUCUCAGACAAUUCUUUAGUGACAUGGACCAUAUUAUCAUGAUUAUCUUCAGUUCAUAGGAAUCAUUAAAUCUAUUCCCAAAAUGCAAUCUAAUAUUCUCCCAAGGAAUAUAAUAUAUUCAAAUAAAAUUAUUGACAAAGGUUACAAUCGUAAAUUAUUUAUCAGGUUGAAUUACUCCCCACCUUCCAGGGAAGUCUCAGGUUGAGGUCUUUGGAAAUAGUCAUGCCACUGUUUCCUCUUUGAGUUUAUGGUUAAUGGCACAGAGAGAAGUCUUUUCUUCCCUGGGUAGUUCUGAGUAAGAAAACAAUAGUCAAACUUGAAUGUAAUCACUGAGGCAACAAGAGAAAGAAAAGUAAUGUUUAGUUAACAGAACUGCAGACCGGAAGAGACAGGAUUCAUGGAUCUGCCAAGGUGAGGAAUACAGCCUGAAAUGCAAAUAGAAGCAGAUUGGAGAACAGGAAAGAAACUUCUGGAGAAAGCAGGCAAAGGGACCUGUUCCAAUGGAAGCACACUUUAUGUCUCCCAGAAUAGUAGUUCCCCAUCCUGGCUUCCUGUCAGAAUUACCUGCAGUUCGUUUCAAAAAAAACACAUUUCCAGAACUUGCUCAAUUCCUGCUGAAUCAAAAUAUGACUUUUUAUGCAGCUGGCCUGUCACCUACACAUGAUGAACUUUUUCCUGUCCAGAGGAAAAUAUCCAUGAUGAUGGCAAAAGUCCUUUCUUGAGAGCUGUCUUUUAUUCUCGGACUAAGGUCAUCUUAAUUUUUUAUUAUAAUAUUCUUCCUUUUAUGAAAUUGUUAUGACAAAACAUGAUGAGGUUUUUUUUAAUGUUCUUACUUAGCAAAAUAAAAAUUAGCAAAACUAUUGCUAGGUCUAUGACCUUGGAUGGUUCACCAAAAUCACCAUCACUAGUUCCUGAUUUUAAAAUCAGAGUAGUAAAACCUGGCUGGGCACGGUGGCUCACACCUGUAAUCCAAGCACUUUGGGAAGCCAAGGCAGGUGGAUCGCCUAAGGUCAGGAGUUGGGAGACUAGCCUGGCCUAACACGGUGAAACCCUGUCUCUACUAAAAAUAUAAAAAGUAGCCUGGCGUGGUGGCGAGCACCUGUAAUCCCAGCUACUCCGGAGGCUGAGGCAGGAGAAUCACUUGAACCCGGGAGGCAGAGGUUGCAGUGAG